GUAGGUGGCAAGCGUUGUCCGGGAAUUAUUGGGGCGUAAAGCGCGCGCAGGCGGUUCUUUAAGUCUGGAUGUGAAAGCCCACGGGCUCAACCGUGGAGGGUCAUUGGAAACUGGAGAACUUGAGUACAGAAGAGGAAAGCGGAAUUCCACGUGUAGCGGUGAAAUGCGUAGAGAUGUGGAGGAACAUCAGUGGCGAAGGCGGCUUUCUGGUCUGUAACUGACGCUGAGGCGCGAAAGCGUGGGGAGCAAACAGGAUUAGAUACCCUGGUAGUCCACGCCGUAAACGAUGAGUGCUAAGUGUUAGGGGGUUUCCGCCCCUUAGUGCUGCAGCUAACGCAUUAAGCACUCCGCCUGGGGAGUACGGCCGCAAAGGCUGA
rnacentral:rRNA from 1 species